AGCACAUUAUUAAUUAUUUGUUCCCCAUAUAGGUAUUUUACUGAUUAAUCAAGUCAACCCCUUAUCCUUGUCUCUGUUAAGCUAAAUAGCUUCAUGAGCCUAUCAAGAUGAUGCAGGUUUUCUAAAGUCUAGAAUGGUAGAUAUGCACUGAGUCACUUUAACUGGAGUUUAAUCUUAACUACUUAAGACCUUGGAGUGUGCUUGUAUUUAGAGAAGUGACUAUGUAAAAAAGACACCUUCCUGCUCAAGAGAUCUGUUCUUUGUGUGUAUUCAGAGUUAUAUUAGACCCUUUGUG